GCGGGUGUAACUCAAUGGUAGAGUGCUAGCCUUUCCAAGCUAGUUUACGAGGGUUCGAUUCCCUCUACCCGCU
rnacentral:tRNA from 1 species